GAUGAACGCUGGCGGCGUGCCUAGUACAUGCAAGUCGAGCGAACGGACGAGAAGCUUGCUUCUCUGAUGUUAGCGGCGGACGGGUGAGUAACACGUGGAUAACCUACCUAUAAGACUGGGAUAACUUCGGGAAACCGGAGCUAAUACCGGAUAAUAUUUUGAACCGCAUGGUUCAAAAGUGAAAGACGGUCUUGCUGUCACUUAUAGAUGGAUCCGCGCUGCAUUAGCUAGUUGGUAAGGUAACGGCUUACCAAGGCAACGAUGCAUAGCCGACCUGAGAGGGUGAUCGGCCACACUGGAACUGAGACACGGUCCAGACUCCUACGGGAGGCAGCAGUAGGGAAUCUUCCGCAAUGGGCGAAAGCCUGACGGAGCAACGCCGCGUGAGUGAUGAAGGUCUUCGGAUCGUAAAACUCUGUUAUUAGGGAAGAACAUAUGUGUAAGUAACUGUGCACAUCUUGACGGUACCUAAUCAGAAAGCCACGGCUAACUACGUGCCAGCAGCCGCGGUAAUACGUAGGUGGCAAGCGUUAUCCGGAAUUAUUGGGCGUAAAGCGCGCGUAGGCGGUUUUUUAAGUCUGAUGUGAAAGCCCACGGCUCAACCGUGGAGGGUCAUUGGAAACUGGAAAACUUGAGUGCAGAAGAGGAAAGUGGAAUUCCAUGUGUAGCGGUGAAAUGCGCAGAGAUAUGGAGGAACACCAGUGGCGAAGGCGACUUUCUGGUCUGUAACUGACGCUGAUGCGCGAAAGCGUGGGGAUCAAACAGGAUUAGAUACCCUGGUAGUCCACGCCGUAAACGAUGAGUGCUAAGUGUUAGGGGGUUUCCGCCCCUUAGUGCUGCAGCUAACGCAUUAAGCACUCCGCCUGGGGAGUACGACCGCAAGGUUGAAACUCAAAGGAAUUGACGGGGACCCGCACAAGCGGUGGAGCAUGUGGUUUAAUUCGAAGCAACGCGAAGAACCUUACCAAAUCUUGACAUCCUUUGACAACUCUAGAGAUAGAGCCUUCCCCUUCGGGGGACAAAGUGACAGGUGGUGCAUGGUUGUCGUCAGCUCGUGUCGUGAGAUGUUGGGUUAAGUCCCGCAACGAGCGCAACCCUUAAGCUUAGUUGCCAUCAUUAAGUUGGGCACUCUAAGUUGACUGCCGGUGACAAACCGGAGGAAGGUGGGGAUGACGUCAAAUCAUCAUGCCCCUUAUGAUUUGGGCUACACACGUGCUACAAUGGACAAUACAAAGGGCAGCGAAACCGCGAGGUCAAGCAAAUCCCAUAAAGUUGUUCUCAGUUCGGAUUGUAGUCUGCAACUCGACUACAUGAAGCUGGAAUCGCUAGUAAUCGUAGAUCAGCAUGCUACGGUGAAUACGUUCCCGGGUCU
rnacentral:rRNA from 1 species